CGUUGGGACCAGGACAGAUCAUCCUAGUGCAGUAUACAUUUAUUGGUGCUGGAAAUCUGAAAUUUAAAAACUCAAAAGUGCUGGAACCUUUCAGCAGAUGAGGCUGCAUUUGAACAGAGGGAGAAAAAAAGUUAAUGUUUCAAGUUAAUAACGUUUCGUUAGAACCGGUAAAAUUUAGAAAACAGGCUCGAUUUAAAUUGCAGAGGAAAGGAGAGAGGUAGGGAGAACAAAAGGAGUGCCUAUGAUAGACUCACAAUAGACACUGAUAGAUCGAAAUUACUGAACUGAAUCCACAAUCUAUAGACUCGUUCUUAAGAACUCUACAACCCAUAUUCUCAAUAUUUAUGGCUUACAUAUUAUUUCUUUUGUUCAUUGGGUAUUUGUCUGUCUUUGUUGAGUGCUGUUUCUCCAUUAAUUCUAUUGUGUUUCUUUGUAUCUACUGCAACUGCCUACAAGAAAAGUGAACCUCAAAUAGUGUAUAGUGACAUAUAUGUACUUUGAUAAUUAAUUUAAAUUUUGAGUUAGUUGUGCUGGGAAUGAAGAAUACAGAUGUUCAAAUUUCUAGUAACCAUUAUUUCUAACAGGUCAGGCAGCGUCUGUGGAGAAAAGCACAACAGAACAACUUCAGAACCAGCUCGGACCAAGAAUCUGGAAAUCAGAAACAAAAACAGAUAAUUCUAGGAACAUUUAGCAGACCAGAAUUUGCAUCUGUGAAGAGAAAAACAUAAUCAAUACACAAAAUUGACAACCGUCUCUCACAAGCAUAAAAGUUCAUCAAUCUGAAAUGCCGACCUUUCGCACAGAUUCUUUGCUUUUGCAUCAGAACCGGGCUCUUCUGAUGCAAAUUGGAAAGGGUAGUUUUUGACAUUCAAUCAGGGAUGCUCAAAUGGAAGAUGAGAUUGUUUGAAGAGUGUAAGCUUGAGAAACUAAGUCCAGUAUUGAACACCAAAGACAACAGGAGUAGGAUUCAGAAUUAAAGUGGAAGUGCAGUGGACUAAACUGAGGGUUCUUUUGAAGAUCCCGACCUGGAGUUGCACGCUGACUACGGUUCUUUGCAGGAAUGGGACCCACUUUCAGGGUUUCAUGACUGGUCGUUAUUUGGCACGCCAAGGGCACGGCCUAAGAGCUUUGCUCGCCUUCAGCUGUUUGAGAUUUCAUGGCUCUGGAGACAGGGUCAGUAUCCGGGCAGGAGGUUGGUGUGUCAUGGGAGAUGGUAGAUCUAAGACUGUGUGCCCAGAGACCCGAGAUCUUUGGGCACAGAGCUUGGAAAAAGCGACGCAACAGACUUUUAACAUCAUAAACCAUUUAAGGAAAUUAAAACUCAUCCAUUCUGUAAUGCUAGUAAGACACCAGACCAGAGGGUUUCAAGACAAAUACAGUUGUGCAUUGUCUGCAUAACUAUGGUAAUUCUUGUGUUUUGAAAUUAUCUGACCUAAUGGAAGCACGCAGAGUGAGAACAGGCCAAGAAUUGAUCCUUGCAGCACACCAAACACAAUUUCAUGGAUGUUGGAUGCAUAUUCACCACAGCUAUCAAAGAAUUUUCCUCCUAUUAUACAAGAUUGAAACCAGCUUAAGUCAGAACGACCAAACCAUUGACCAAGGUGGUUUAUGAGAUUGCUGUGAUCUACAAUAUCAAAUGCUAUGUUUAAAUCUAAGGGAACAAGAACCGACAUGUUGCCUGUGUCAUUAAUUACUUUAAGCAAUGUUGUUUCUGUAUUAUGAUUUGAUCUAAAACCUGACUGGAUACUUGUCAAAUAUAGAAUUUUUAUUCAAGUAAUCACUUAAUUAUCAAAAAAACUACUUUUUCUAAAAUUUUACUUAGAAAAGGCAAUUUGGAAAUAGGUCUAAAAUUGUCCAAAACAGAGCAGUCUAGAUUAUUUUUCUUAAACAGGGGUUUAACUAUAGCAGUUUUUAAGGAAUCUAGAAAAAUGCCAGAAACUAGUGAGCAAUUAACAAGUACAUGAUCGAUUAGUACAUCAGAAACUUCUUUAAAAAAAAGCCUGUGGGUAGAGGAUCAAAGACUCAAGUGGACAGUUUUAGCUGAGUAAUUAUUUCUUGAAUUUCAGGUAAACUUCUUUUAUUAAAUGAGUUUAGUUCAACAGUGUUGAGCAUGUUGAGGUUCAACAAAGUUUAUUCUUGAGGUCUAUAUUGUAUUGCAUCUUAUAUUAUUUAUUCUCUCUAAUAAAUGCAGCAAACUCUCACUUUCAGCUUCAAAGGCUUUCAACAACCAUUCUAUCAAUGGAGCUAGGUUAACAGUUGAAAAUAAUACUCAUGGAUUACCUGCACUGUCAUUAAUAAUUUUGGACUGUCUCUCAAGAUUAGUUAAAUAAGCCCUCAAGAUUUCAUAGUGAACUAUUCAUUUCGUCUUACUCCAUUACACUCAGCCUUACGAAACUCUCUUUUGAGUUUACAGACAGCUCAAGUUUUCUAUGGUAUUACAACUGUAGAUGAUUCCUUAAGAUUUUCAAAAGCUACUAUACUCGCCACAGCCUCAGUUUAGCAUUACGAUUUUCUACCUUAUUAUUUACAAAGACAGGCUGUAUUAGAGUAAAUGCUACAUUCAGGGUCACAGUUAAAAAUAUUAGAAAACCUAGAAGCAAAUAUGGUAUCAAAAAAAGUCUCUUUAUUCUUUAGUUCUAGUUACAGAGAUUAUGUUAAAGAAAAUAGAGUAAUGAUCUGAAAUGCCAUUGUCUGGGCUCCGAAUCACCUUAAUGAUAAGUCCUUUUGAUAUGACUAAAUCUUAUGUGUGGCUUCCAUGAUGUGUUGGCUGAGUGACAUGCUGACUAAGGUCAAAAGAUUGCAGAAGGUUCAUGAAUUAUCUUGCUUUGGAGUCACACUGAUUAUCUACAUGAAAAUUGAAGUCGCCUACUAUUACAAAACCAAUAUAAUAUUACAGAUAAUAAAAUGGAAAACUCAAAGUGUCCUAGCUACCAUUCAUAUUUCAAUAAUCAUCAAAAAUAUAGAUUACGUAUGCCAACAUGUUCAUGAUGAAAAUACUUCAAAAGUAAUUGCAUGGCUGUGACAUAUUUUGGCCCAUUCUUAAGAGACAGUAAGGUUGUCUAGCAACAAUAACUUGCAUUCAUAUAGUACCAUUUUUGUAUGUUCCCAAGUACAUCAGAGGUUCAUAUGAGAGAAAUCAAUGGAGUUGAAUGGAGAUCAAAAGCUCUAUUAAAGACUUGUGCUUUCAGCGACAACUCAAAGACAAUUUGGUGAGGAGGCAAAGGUAUCUGGGACAGGAGUUGACGACUUAGAGUCACAAUAGCUGCAACAAGUACAGCAUGUAAAGUGGAUUAGAGGACAGAGUCCUCUAGCACUUGGAGUGGCUACAGACAUAGCGAGUGGGGUCAAGAUCAUGCAGGAUUUUAAAUACAACAGAUAACUAUAGUUCCUUAUUUUUCUGGUGUGAAUUGUAGCUAGGCUUGGAAUGAACAUUAAAACAAAAUAGGUGCUUGUAAUUAGGGAAAAAGACAUAAAUAAAAAUAUUUAAAGCAGAGUUAUUUUAGUUUCACAGUCAAGUUGCCAGAGUCUUCAUCUCCCCCAAAGGCGCUAUUUUAACUGUGUCCAUAUAGUAUUGUCUGAUCUUGCCUUCACCUAAUAGUAUCCACAAACUACUUUAUAACAGGAAAAAAAUUACAGAUUUUCCCCCUUAGCCAUAAGAACUUUAUACUGACCCAAGACCAUGAAAAGAACUACAUAAAUAAAGGUGCAUCGUUCUUUCCUCUUGCUCCUGAUACACCAAGGUCAAAGAGCCAACUACCACUCGCCAUUCAGUCUAACACAAGAAUGGUGAUGCAUCGGGGAAGUACCAAAAGCGGUAAAGUUAAUUAAUGAGAACAGUCUAAGCCGGCGGAACGCUUAAAAUAAAAUGACAUCGCAGCUCUUUAAUUUUAUAUAACGGUUUUAUACAAUGAGCUGUACCCGUGCUGUUAGUCAGACCGAAUCAAUGACAGGGCACCUUGGUCACAGCCUACAAGAUAGGCCCAAGACGCAAUCACUGAAAACUCAAUGACACACCGCU